AAGAGCUUUCCUUACACUAGAUGUCAAGUUGUCCUUUGCACGAGCCUCUGCUGGGAUACAAGGGAAGCCCUUCAGCAUCCCCUUCAUCCAAAGCCAGAGAUCUCUACCUGAUUGAUUGAACAUCCUUCAGUUCUUUCCCUGUGUAGAACUGAAUCUUUAUCUCCUACUGAAAUUUUAUGUACACAAGGUCAGAAGAGGCUCCUUAAAGCUGCGAGCAAUGUAGCACCAUAAUUUCCAGGAAAUGAAACAGACCCUUUUGAGCUACAUGAAAGGUUAUCCAAAGAGAAUAAGUUCUGAAAUAGUCACAGGAAAAGCUUUAGAAUGCAGGUCUGAGGAACAGAGUGCAAAACAAGGGCAGGACAGC